UCGGUAGUAUAGUGGUCAGUAUCCCCGCCUGUCACGCGGGAGACCGGGGUUCGAUUUCUCGCAGAAGAG
rnacentral:tRNA from 1 species